GGUUAAGCGACUAAGCGUACACGGUGGAUGCCCUGGCAGUCAGAGGCGAUGAAGGACGUGCUAAUCUGCGAUAAGCGUCGGUGAGGUGAUAUGAACCGUUAUAACCGGCGAUUUCCGAAUGGGGAAACCCAGUGUGUUUCGACACACUAUCAUUAACUGAAUCCAUAGGUUAAUGAGGCGAACCGGGGGAACUGAAACAUCUAAGUACCCCGAGGAAAAGAAAUCAACCGAGAUUCCCCCAGUAGCGGCGAGCGAACGGGGAGGAGCCCAGAGCCUGAAUCAGUGUGUGUGUUAGUGGAAGCGUCUGGAAAGGCGCGCGAUACAGGGUGACAGCCCCGUACACAAAAAUGCACAUAUUGUGAGCUCGAUGAGUAGGGCGGGACACGUGGUAUCCUGUCUGAAUAUGGGGGGACCAUCCUCCAAGGCUAAAUACUCCUGACUGACCGAUAGUGAACCAGUACCGUGAGGGAAAGGCGAAAAGAACCCCGGCGAGGGGAGUGAAAAAGAACCUGAAACCGUGUACGUACAAGCAGUGGGAGCCUCUUUAUGGGGUGACUGCGUACCUUUUGUAUAAUGGGUCAGCGACUUAUAUUCUGUAGCAAGGUUAACCGAAUAGGGGAGCCGAAGGGAAACCGAGUCUUAACUGGGCGUUAAGUUGCAGGGUAUAGACCCGAAACCCGGUGAUCUAGCCAUGGGCAGGUUGAAGGUUGGGUAACACUAACUGGAGGACCGAACCGACUAAUGUUGAAAAAUUAGCGGAUGACUUGUGGCUGGGGGUGAAAGGCCAAUCAAACCGGGAGAUAGCUGGUUCUCCCCGAAAGCUAUUUAGGUAGCGCCUCGUGAAUUCAUCUCCGGGGGUAGAGCACUGUUUCGGCAAGGGGGUCAUCCCGACUUACCAACCCGAUGCAAACUGCGAAUACCGGAGAAUGUUAUCACGGGAGACACACGGCGGGUGCUAACGUCCGUCGUGAAGAGGGAAACAACCCAGACCGCCAGCUAAGGUCCCAAAGUCAUGGUUAAGUGGGAAACGAUGUGGGAAGGCCCAGACAGCCAGGAUGUUGGCUUAGAAGCAGCCAUCAUUUAAAGAAAGCGUAAUAGCUCACUGGUCGAGUCGGCCUGCGCGGAAGAUGUAACGGGGCUAAACCAUGCACCGAAGCUGCGGCAGCGACACUAUGUGUUGUUGGGUAGGGGAGCGUUCUGUAAGCCUGUGAAGGUGGCCUGUGAGGGUUGCUGGAGGUAUCAGAAGUGCGAAUGCUGACAUAAGUAACGAUAAAGCGGGUGAAAAGCCCGCUCGCCGGAAGACCAAGGGUUCCUGUCCAACGUUAAUCGGGGCAGGGUGAGUCGACCCCUAAGGCGAGGCCGAAAGGCGUAGUCGAUGGGAAACAGGUUAAUAUUCCUGUACUUGGUGUUACUGCGAAGGGGGGACGGAGAAGGCUAUGUUGGCCGGGCGACGGUUGUCCCGGUUUAAGCGUGUAGGCUGGUUUUCCAGGCAAAUCCGGAAAACCAAGGCUGAGGCGUGAUGACGAGGCACUACGGUGCUGAAGCGACAAAUGCCCUGCUUCCAGGAAAAGCCUCUAAGCAUCAGGUAACAUCAAAUCGUACCCCAAACCGACACAGGUGGUCAGGUAGAGAAUACCAAGGCGCUUGAGAGAACUCGGGUGAAGGAACUAGGCAAAAUGGUGCCGUAACUUCGGGAGAAGGCACGCUGAUAUGUAGGUGAAGCGACUUGCUCGUGGAGCUGAAAUCAGUCGAAGAUACCAGCUGGCUGCAACUGUUUAUUAAAAACACAGCACUGUGCAAACACGAAAGUGGACGUAUACGGUGUGACGCCUGCCCGGUGCCGGAAGGUUAAUUGAUGGGGUUAGCGGUAACGCGAAGCUCUUGAUCGAAGCCCCGGUAAACGGCGGCCGUAACUAUAACGGUCCUAAGGUAGCGAAAUUCCUUGUCGGGUAAGUUCCGACCUGCACGAAUGGCGUAAUGAUGGCCAGGCUGUCUCCACCCGAGACUCAGUGAAAUUGAACUCGCUGUGAAGAUGCAGUGUACCCGCGGCAAGACGGAAAGACCCCGUGAACCUUUACUAUAGCUUGACACUGAACAUUGAGCCUUGAUGUGUAGGAUAGGUGGGAGGCUUUGAAGUGUGGACGCCAGUCUGCAUGGAGCCGACCUUGAAAUACCACCCUUUAAUGUUUGAUGUUCUAACGUUGGCCCGUAAUCCGGGUUGCGGACAGUGUCUGGUGGGUAGUUUGACUGGGGCGGUCUCCUCCUAAAGAGUAACGGAGGAGCACGAAGGUUGGCUAAUCCUGGUCGGACAUCAGGAGGUUAGUGCAAUGGCAUAAGCCAGCUUGACUGCGAGCGUGACGGCGCGAGCAGGUGCGAAAGCAGGUCAUAGUGAUCCGGUGGUUCUGAAUGGAAGGGCCAUCGCUCAACGGAUAAAAGGUACUCCGGGGAUAACAGGCUGAUACCGCCCAAGAGUUCAUAUCGACGGCGGUGUUUGGCACCUCGAUGUCGGCUCAUCACAUCCUGGGGCUGAAGUAGGUCCCAAGGGUAUGGCUGUUCGCCAUUUAAAGUGGUACGCGAGCUGGGUUUAGAACGUCGUGAGACAGUUCGGUCCCUAUCUGCCGUGGGCGCUGGAGAACUGAGGGGGGCUGCUCCUAGUACGAGAGGACCGGAGUGGACGCAUCACUGGUGUUCGGGUUGUCAUGCCAAUGGCACUGCCCGGUAGCUAAAUGCGGAAGAGAUAAGUGCUGAAAGCAUCUAAGCACGAAACUUGCCCCGAGAUGAGUUCUCCCUGAGACUUAG
rnacentral:rRNA from 1 species